UACGUAGGGCGCAAGCGUUGUCCGGAAUUAUUGGGCGUAAAGAGCUCGUAGGCGGCCUGUUGCGUCCGCUGUGAAAUCCCGAGGCUCAACCUCGGGUCUGCAGUCGAUACGAGCAAACUAGAGUGUUGCAGGGGAGACUGGAAUUCCUGGUGUAGCGGUGAAAUGCGCAGAUAUCAGGAGGAACACCGGUGGCGAAGGCGGGUCUCUGGGCAACAACUGACGCUGAGGAGCGAAAGCGUGGGGAGCGAACAGG
rnacentral:rRNA from 1 species